rnacentral:rRNA from 1 species
GAGUCAUUGGGACUAAAUUAAACCUAAAGGCGCAAUGAAAGUAAAGGUCCGCCUCGCGCGGACCUAGGGAGGAUGCGCCCGGCCACGGUCGGGCACCGCACUCCCGGGGCGUCUCGUUCUCAUAGCGAGAAGAGGCGCACCCAGAGCGUACACGCUGGGACCCGAAAGAUGGUGAACUAUGCCUGGUCAGGACGAAGUCAGGGGAAACCCUGAUGGAGGUCCGUAGCGAUUCUGACGUGCAAAUCGAUCGUCGGAACUGGGUAUAGGGGCGAAAGACUAAUCGAACCUUCUAGUAGCUGGUUCCCUCCGAAGUUUCCCUCAGGAUAGCUGGCGCUCGCCUUGCGAGUCUCAUUCGGUAAAGCGAAUGAUUAGAGGCAUUGGGGUCGAAACGGCCUCAACCUAUUCUCAAACUUUAAAUGGGUGAGAUCUCCGGCUUGCUUGAACGGUGAAGCCGCGAGAGAUCAUCGGAUCACAGAGUGCCAAGUGGGCCACUUUUGGUAAGCAGAACUGGCGCUGUGGGAUGAACCAAACGCCGAGUUAAAGCGCCUAAAUCGACGCUUAUGGGAUACCAUGAAAGGCGUUGGUAACUUAA